GGAUCAUUUACCGAGUUUACAACUUCCCCAAACCCCUGUGAACAUACCACUUGUUGCCUCGGCGGAUCAGCCCGCUCCCGGUAAAACGGGACGGCCCGCCAGAGGACCCCUAAACUCUGUUUCUAUAUGUAACUUCUGAGUAAAACCAUAAAUAAAUCAAAACUUUCAACAACGGAUCUCUUGGUUCUGGCAUCGAUGAAGAACGCAGCAAAAUGCGAUAAGUAAUGUGAAUUGCAGAAUUCAGUGAAUCAUCGAAUCUUUGAACGCACAUUGCGCCCGCCAGUAUUCUGGCGGGCAUGCCUGUUCGAGCGUCAUUUCAACCCUCAAGCACAGCUUGGUGUUGGGACUCGCGUUAAUUCGCGUUCCCCAAAUUGAUUGGCGGUCACGUCGAGCUUCCAUAGCGUAGUAGUAAAACCCUCGUUACUGGUAAUCGUCGCGGCCACGCCGUUAAACCCCAACUUCUGAAUGUUGACCUCGGAUCAGGUAGGAAUACCCGCUGAACUUAAGCAUAUCAA
rnacentral:rRNA from 1 species